rnacentral:lncRNA from 1 species
CCUGCAGUGCCUGACAUGCUGGCCUGCUGCUGUUCAGACACAGUUGUACAUCUGGUGAACUGAGCUGCGCUGCUUCAUCUCUUGAACCCCUUUGGAGCCACGGAUGCACAGUGUGACUGGCACAGGGCCAUCACGUGCAGUACCUGCCUGCUGCCAAGUGAGGACAUGCGGCUGAGAUCAAAGGGCUCCAGGGAGGAGGCCCUGGAAAGCCCCUGCUUUUCAUCCAUCCCAAGGGAUUUCCUGGCAGAGUUCCCUCGGGAUUUGAGUCCUUUCUUUGUUCUCUCCAAACCCACAGAAUCAAUGAGGUUAGAAAAGACCUUUGAGAUCAUCAGGUCCAACCUACGACAUAAC